CAAUAGCGAAUCUUAAUGUUGUUGCUAUUAAAAAGCUCGUAGUCGAAUUUCUGGCCGGGAAAAGCCGAUCUAACCGCGCUGCUCCUAGGUCAUCCGUCUUUGAGGGCAUGUAGGUAUUUGUUUAUCUCGUGUCGGAUCUGGCAUUUUACUUUGAAAAAAUACAGAGUGUUUCAGGCAGGCUUUCGCUUGAAUACACCAGCAUGGAAUAAUGGAAUAGGGCUAGACUUACUUCUUGGUUCGUUUGUACUAGCAAUAGAUUAAUAAGGGACGAGUUGGGGGCGAUUCGUACUGGACAGCUAGAGGUGAAAUUACUACGAUUUGUUCCAAGACGAACUAAUGCGAAGGCAUCUGCCAAGGAUGUUUUCAUUGAUCAAGAACGAAAGU
rnacentral:rRNA from 1 species